GCUAUCCUGAGUAGAGUGGCGCACGGGUGAGUAACACGUGGAUAAUCUGCCUUCAAGCCUGGGAUAACCCUUCGAAAGGAUGGCUAAUACCGGAUGCAGUUUCUUUACACAAGUGCUGAGAUGAAAGAUUGCCUCUUCUUGAAAGCAAUUGUUUGGAGAUGAGUUUGCGUACCAUUAUCUUGUUGGUGGGGUAAAAGCCUACCAAGGCUGCGAUGGUUAGCUGGUCUGAGAGGAUGAUCAGUCACACUGUAACUGGAACACGGUCCCCACUCCUACNGGAGGCGNCACUGAGGAAUUUUGCGCAAUGGGGGGAACCCUGACACACCAACGCCCCGCGAGUGAAAAAAGCCCUUGGGUCUCAAAGCUCUGUCAACUGGGAAAAAAUUGUUAUUGGUUAAUAUAGGAUAUGAUUGACGGUACCCCUGGAGGAAACGCCCGCUAACUCCGUGCCACCAGCCGCGGUAACACGGGGGGGGCAAGCGUUAUUCUCAAUUUUUGGGCGUAAAGGGGGCGCAGGCGGUUCUGUCUGUCACAUGUGAAAGCCCGGGGCUCUCCCCCGGA
rnacentral:rRNA from 1 species